AUCCAGCUGAUGAAUCCCAAAGAGAACGAAACGAGCGUCAAACUGGAU
rnacentral:hammerhead_ribozyme from 1 species